rnacentral:rRNA from 1 species
GGAAUGAGCGGCGGACGGGUGAGUAACACGUAAAGAACCUGCCCUCAGGUCUGGGAUAACCACGAGAAAUCGGGGCUAAUACCGGAUGGGUCAUCGGACCGCAUGGUCCGAGGAUGAAAGGCGCUUCGGCGUCGCCUGGGGAUGGCUUUGCGGUGCAUUAGCUAGUUGGUGGGGUAAAGGCCCACCAAGGCGACGAUGCAUAGCCGACCUGAGAGGGUGAUCGGCCACACUGGGACUGAGACACGGCCCAGACUCCUACGGGAGGCAGCAGUAGGGAAUCUUCCACAAUGGACGAAAGUCUGAUGGAGCAACGCCGCGUGAACGAUGAAGGCCUUCGGGUCGUAAAGUUCUGUUGUAAGGGAAGAACAAGUGCCGCAGGCAAUG